CCUACGGGUGGCAGCAGUGGGGAAUAUUGGUCAAUGGGCGCAAGCCUGACCCAGCAACGCCGCGUGAAGGAAGAAGGCUUUCUGGUUGUAAACUUCUUUUCUGAGGGACGAAGAAAGUGACGGUACCUCAGGAAUAAGCCACGGCUAACUACGUGCCAGCAGCCGCGGUAAUACGUAGGUGGCAAGCGUUAUCCGGAUUUAUUGGGUGUAAAGGGCGUGUAGGCGGGAAAGCAAGUCAGAUGUGAAAUCUCAGGGCUCAACCCUGAUCCUGCAUUUGAAACUGUUUUUCUUGAGUGCUGGAGAGGCAAGCGGAAUUCGGUGUGUAGCGGUGAAAUGCGUAGAUAUACGGAGGAACACCAGUGGCGAAGGCGGAUUGCUGGACCUUAACUGACGCUGAGGCACGAAGGCCAGGGGAGCGAAAGGGAUUAGAUACCCUUGUAGUC
rnacentral:rRNA from 1 species